rnacentral:rRNA from 1 species
AAUUUUGGACAAUGGGGGUAACCCUGAUCCAGCCAUCCCGCGUGUAUGCUGAAGGCCUUCAGGUUGUAAAGUACUUUUGGCAGAGAAGAAAAGGUACCUCCUAAUACGAGGUACUGCUGACGGUAUCUGCAGAAUAAGCACCGGCUAACACCGUGCGAGCAGCCGCGGGAAUACGUAGGGUGCAAGCGGUAAUCGGAAUUACUGGGCGUAAAGCGUGUGUAGGCGGUUCGGAAAGAAAGAUGUGAAAUCCCAGGGCUCAACCUUGGAACUGCAUUUUUAACUGCCGAGCUAGAGUAUGUCAGAGGGGGGUAGAAUUCCACGUGUAGCAGUGAAAUGCGUAGAUAUGUGGAGGAAUACCGAUGGCGAAGGCAGCCCCCUGGGAUAAUACUGACGCUCAGACACGAAAGCGUGGGGAGCAAACA